rnacentral:rRNA from 1 species
GCUGAAGGCUUGUAUGAAAAGUUGCAACAGGCCGGUGUUGAAGUAUUAUUUGAUGAUCGUACUGAACGGGCCGGUGUGAAGUUUAAAGACGCAGACCUCCUGGGAAUGCCGGUCAGAGUAACCGUUGGGGCAAAAGCAAACGAGGGUACGGUGGAGAUUAAACUGCGCCGUACGGGUGAAGCUAAGGAACUUUCACCUGAAGAAGUUCUUAAAGAGCUCCCUGAUUGGCUGAAACGAGCAGACGGUUAAAAAUGAACCCGGUCAUCAGACUGCGGGGAAGCGGUUCGGGGAGUGCAGGGAAAUAUUUAUCCGGGAAAGCGCAUCUACCGCAGCGUGCUUGUAUAUCGGGUAAGUUCCGACCCGCACGAAAGGCGUAACGAAUCUGGGCGCUGUCUCAACGAGAGACCCGGUGAAAUUGUACUGCCAGUGAAGAUGCUGGCUACCCGCGACAAGACGGAAAGACCCCGUGGAGCUUUACU